UAUGGCAGAUUAGUGCAAUGGACUUAAACCCCAAAUAUAAAGAAAGCUUUUUUUAGAA
rnacentral:tRNA from 1 species